rnacentral:rRNA from 1 species
GGACUACUAGGGUAUCUAAUCCCGUUCGCUCCCCUGGCUUUCGCGCCUCAGCGUCAGAAGAGGUCCAGCGCGCCGCUUUCGCCACCGGUGUUCCUUCCGAUAUCUACGCAUUUCACCGCUCCACCGGAAGUUCCGCACGCCCCUACCUCCCUCGAGGCGACCAGUCUCAAAGGCCCUUCUGCGGUUGAGCCGCAGGAUUUCACCCCUGACUUGAUCGCCCGCCUACGCGCCCUUUAAGCCCAGUGAUUCCGAACAACGUUUGCACGGUUCGUCUUACCGCGGCUGCUGGCAC